AGUCUAGUAAUUGGAAUGAGUACAAUCUGAAUCCCUUAACGACGAUCCAUUAGAGGGCAAGUCAGGUGCCAGCAGCCGCGGUAAUUCUAGCUCCAAUAGCGUAUAUUUAAGUUGUUGCAGUUAAAAAGCUCAUAGUUGGAACUAGGGUUAGGUCAUCCGAUUUGCCUCACGGUGAGCAUCGAUCUAGUUGUCCCUACUGCCGAUGAUGCGCUCCUGGACUUAAUUGCCCUGGUGCUCCUCCGAUGAUGUUACUUUGAAGAAAUUAGAGUGCUCAAAGUAGGCCUAUGCUUGUAUACAUUAGCAUGGGAUAACAUCAUAGGAUUUCAAUCCUAUUCUGUUGGCCUUCGGGAUUGGAGUAAUGAUUAACACGGACAGUCAGGGGCAUUCGUAUUUCAUAGUCAGAGGUGAAAUUUUUGGAUUUAUGAAAGAUGAACAACUGUGAAAGCAUUUGCCAAGGAUGUUUUCAUUAAUCAAGAAUAAAAGUUGAGGGCUCGAAGAUGAUCAGAUACCAUCCUAGUCUCAAACAUAAAUGAUACCGACCAGAGAUCAACGGAUGUUACUUUUUAGGACUCUGCCAGCACCUUAUAAGAAAUCAAAGUCUUUGGGUUCCGGGGGGAGUAUGGUCUCAAGGCUGAAACUUAAAGGAAUUGACGGAAGGGCACCACCAGGAGUGGAGCCUGCGGCUUAAUUUGACUCAACACGGGGAAACUUACCGGGUCCAGACACAGUAAGGAUUGACAGACUGAGAGCUCUUUCUUGAUUCUAUGGGUGAUGGUGCAUGGCCAUUCUUAGUUGGUGGAGGGAUUUGUCUGGUUAAUUCCGUUAACGAACGAGACCUCAGCCUAAUAACUAGCUACGUGGAGGUGAUCCUUCGUGGCUAGCUUCUUAGAGGGACUAUGGCCACUUAGGCCAAGAAAGUUUGAGGCAAUAACAGGUUUGUGAUGCCCUUAGAUGUUCUGGGCGGCACGCGCGCUACACUGAUGUAUUCAACGAGUCUAUAGCCUUGGUCGACAGGCCCGGGUAAUCUUUGAAAUUUCAUCGUGAUGGGGAUAGAUCAUUCCAAUUGUUGGUCUUCAACGAGGAAUUCCUACUAAGCGUGAGUCAUCAGCUCGCAUUGACUACGUCCCUGCCCUUUUUACACAUCGCCCGUCAUUCCUACCAAUUGAAUGGUCCGGUGAAGUGUUCGGAUAGCGACGACGUGGAUGGCCCGCUGGCCACGACAUCGAGAGAAGUCCACUGAACCUUAUCAUUUAGAGAAAGGAGAAGUCAUAACAAGGUUUCUAUAGGUGAACCUGUGGAAG
rnacentral:rRNA from 1 species